AGUCGUAUAUACUGUGGAGAUUGGGGUCCAUUGGCCCAACUAGUUCUCGUACAUAUAGAUUAGAGAUCUUGUAUCCCCAACAAAUUAACACAUGGACACCUUCAACGUGCGUGGUGCGCGCUCGCUCGCUCGCCCUCACUCCUCGCGUUGCUCCUCCAUGGCGAUGCGGCGUCCACUCACCGAGGGCUUCAGGACGCCGAGGCCCCCGACCUCCCGUGGGCGAACGCGACCGCAGACGCCGAGGCCGACGAGCGCUUGUUGCACGGCACGUCCUGGGCUAACGAUACCGAUCCGUGGGCGGCCGUCUACGGGCAUGCUGGAUGGUGGCUCUCGUGGAGGUGCCCACGGAGGGAGAAGAACGGAACCCUGCCCAGGAUAACCAGGCUCUGCUACGCCCGCGAGGUAAGAUUGCUGGAGAAGCUCCACCCACCGCCGCCGCCGCAGGAGAGCCCAGAAGAGGAGGCCCGCCGCAGAGUGGUUGAGAUCUUGAGCACCUCCUCGGUGCAGGUGGAUCCCUGGCCUGAGAAGAUUCUUAAUCCAGUGAUGGAGUCAACAAGAUACCGCACAUACAGGGUCCCUCCGUUCCAGCCAGCAGCCCGGCACGCCCCGAUUUAGAUCGUGAUUCCUCUCCUUUUUUUUUUCUGUUUGUGAUUAUCCACCAUCUAUGUGUAAUCGAAGAUAUACGGUAUCUGAGAUAAUUAAACAGAAUCGAAUCGGUUAAUUAGGCUUGUUUUUUUAUAUUUCAGUGGCUAUUAUAUCUGUCGAGCAUAUCUUUUAUAAGCCGCAAAAUUCGGAUC